UCAAAUGAAUUUUUGCCCAACAUGAAAGUUGAAGAUCUUGUUCUCCCAUUUUCAAAAAGUCCAAGAACUCUCAAAUCCCAUGAAUGGUUUGCAAGAUAUGAUCAUUUCAUUUUCACAUUUUUUUGAACUUCAACAAGCCAUAUCUCAUGAACCAAAAGGCCAAAUCUAGUGGGGUUUUUUCCUACAAACCACAUUUCAUCUCCUCUUUCCAAAAAUAUAAACAUCAUGUACCAAAACCUUGCC
rnacentral:lncRNA from 1 species